GAUGAACGCUAGCUACAGGCUUAACACAUGCAAGUCGAGGGGAAACGACAUCGAAAGCUUGCUUUUGAUGGGCGUCGACCGGCGCACGGGUGAGUAACGCGUAUCCAACCUGCCCACCACUUGGGGAUAACCUUGCGAAAGUAAGACUAAUACCCAAUGAUAUCCCAUGAAGGCAUCCGAAUGGGAUUAAAGAUUUAUCGGUGAUGGAUGGGGAUGCGUCUGAUUAGCUUGUUGGCGGGGUAACGGCCCACCAAGGCAACGAUCAGUAGGGGUUCUGAGAGGAAGGUCCCCCACAUUGGAACUGAGACACGGUCCAAACUCCUACGGGAGGCAGCAGUGAGGAAUAUUGGUCAAUGGGCGUAAGCCUGAACCAGCCAAGUAGCGUGAGGGAAGACUGCCCUACGGGUUGUAAACCUCUUUUGUUUGGGAAUAAAGUGCGGGACGUGUCCCGCAUUGCAUGUACCAUUUGAAUAAGGACCGGCUAAUUCCGUG
rnacentral:rRNA from 1 species